AGCAUACCACACGGGAAGAUUAACCAUUGCACUUACAUCAGACAAUAAAAAUGUCGCAUAUCCAACAUUUUCAAAGUAAUUUUGUCUGGAUGCAAUUGUUUCUUGUUUCUUCAUAGCAUCAAUGUUUGGGUCAAAAGGGUGUAUAAGGUGGUUGCCACGUUCAUCCGAACCACCUUCAACAUGACCAUCUUCAGGAUAUCAAGCAUGACAUCUUCUUCAUACGAAAUAACAACUUCAUUAAAAAUAAUUAACUCGGUGGCUAUGACAUGUAAAUGUCUAUGUUUUGACACGAAUGGUUUAUUAUGCACUCGUAUAAAUCGGAAUCAACAAAGCACAGAGAUAAUUUAUGUAUUUACUUUAUUGGGCGCCAGGCAUAUAUAUUUCUGCCGUGUGUGUCAUGACCUAUGUAGUUAAUAUGAGUACAUCAAAAAACACAAAUAUAUGCAAAUCCAACUUUAAAAAGGAAAACAAAAAUGUAUAUUCAGAGAGAGAAAAUGCAUGGAUGGCGACAGUCAAGCGAUUUUAUUGGCAAAUGGAGCGUGUCCCUCCUAGUAGUUAAUCUAUCUAGUUUUUUAUUAUUACCAAAUCUGGUCAAUUUAAUCAAGUGCUCUCGUGUCCAGAGGCUAGUCGGGUGUCCACCGACCAUCUCGCGCAGAUGACGCGUUUCAUCUGACCCCAAACUCCCACCGUUGUCUAUCCCUCCUCCAACCUUAUCUUCUCUCCUUCUCCUACCUUUCAGUUCUUUCCUUUUUCCUUGGCCAUGAGAGCAGGAGAGCAUGUCCUCGUCCCUUGUGACCGCCCAGGCCGUCCCUUCCCUCGCUCGCGUGAGGUGCCUCCUCCAACCGCACCCGGAGAUGGUGCCCCGAGCCGCUUGAAGCAGGCCAGCCAGCAGCCGCCCCUGUUCCUCCUCUCACUCGGCUUUUCCCUCUCCUUCUCUCUCAAUUUUCGCCAUUGACAACCCCCGCAGCACCCCGCCCGCCAUCUUCGGCCACCUCUUCGUCGGCCUCGUGCUCCUCCGCCUCGAUCCGUCCGCCGCGCCACCGGAUCCACGCCGGAGCAGCCGGAUCCGCGGCCUCCUGCCUCGUCUGCCGUCGGGAGAGCCGCCUCACGCAGGCCAGCCGUCUACUCCUCUUCUCUGGGCUUUUCCCCCCUUCUCUCUCUCUCUCUCUCUCUCUCUCUCUCUCUCAUCUCCGUUUUCUCCAGGGAAGGAAGUGGCCAUGGAUCACAACCCGCAGCACCCCUGCUCUCGUUGCCGGAAACCUCUCUGUCGGCCUCGAGCUCCUCCGCCUCGAUCCGUCCGUACGACCCGCCGCCACCUCCUGCAUCGCCUGUCGUCUGGAGGAGGACGACCGAGAGUAGUGCCCGUUCGUCCGCCGCGUGGACUGGCUCAGCCCAGCUCGCCCGCUAAAGCCGUCGAGCAUCUGCCUUGUCGAGGCAACACUCCUCUACCUCGCCCCGCACCGCCGCGGUCUCCUCCGCCUCCACCCGCGCCACCCAUCUUCCUCCCUGUCCCCACCCCUCUCCCUCCCCACCCCUGCUCCCGCCCCUCUUCUCCCCGUUCAGCUUCCGCAUCACGGAGCGCAGCCACCGGACCGCCGCGAACAGCGAGGAGCAGCAUGGGCGUGGGGUCGAGUCGGGGACGCAAGCGUGGUCGUUAUCCACUUAAAAAGGACUGCGGGUUGAAUACCCCAAACCACAUGGUCUUUUUUGUAAAAUGUGCGACGACGUACGACCAGAAGCACUCCGUGCUUUAUUAGUAGGGAAAGAGGGAAAGAUAUAUAUAUAUAUAUAUAUAUAUAUAUAUAUAUAUAUAUAUAUAUAUACAAAUGUUCGUGCGUUGCAACGGGAGAAAAUGUUGGCUUCAAUGAAUCUGCCAGAUCAAGGAACCAUGUCGUUGGACAACGCUCGCUAAUGAUAAGAAAUUGGUUCAUUUCAUCAACAUAUGGGGUGAUACAUCAUCAACCGAAUGGGAUAAGGCUUGGUCUAGUUUUAAGAAGAAAGGGAAGAAGACCCUAUUCUCAGAGUUCUCACCGAACAAAUAUGUGACCUGUAACCCACGGCGCAUUGAGUAUCCAUUGUCAGAAGAAGUCGAUCCAAUCAAAAGAGCCGAGAGGUCUAACUUGAUGUUGUGAACAAGCCCAAUAUGUACCUUAGUAGGGGUGAUUAUCUUCGUUUCGGCAUUUCUUAUCUAUACAUUGGUUGUCCCACCCAAGUAACAGGUGAGCUGUAGGCCAAAGAUUCUACUUGGAAGUCUGUAUUGUACAUUUAGUUUGUACUAUACCAAGUAUAAUCAUGGUUCUGUAUUGCUUCAAGCACAUUGUAAUAGAUCAUAAUACAGAACUCCUUCCAUUUUGGUGA